ensembl:lncRNA
AUGAUACACAGAUGCUGCUUGAGGCUCUUUUUUCUUAAAGGAGAAAGAAGAAGCAAAGAAAAGGAGGGCAGACAAGGCACAGAGGAGAAGCCUCUGAGAGGGACAAAGCAGAAGAGGGAGACUGGGGCUAUGGAACACAAUGUUUUCAAUGCAGCAUCUGGUCCCGUGGCAUCUGCAGACCUUAGCCAAUCUGAUGUGAGUGGGAAAGGCCAUGUGAGAGCAGCUGGGACCUAGAGGCAGUAUGGUUUAAGAAAUAUAAGAGCAGCAUUUGAAAGGGUCUUUUUUCCCACCUUCUGGGUUCUAUUUCACUUUGUUUCAUUAUUUCCACUAUCUAUCUGAGCUUUAAGUUUAGGACAACCCAACAAGAAUACCCAAUAAGGACAAGAUGCCAUUAGAAAGAGAGUGAAGAAUAUAGCAUUCCGUGGUUGACACCACUGCUAACAUCCUCUGGAUUUUCCAUCUGGCUGGAGAGAUAAGGCAAUGCCAACAAUUCCAGCUCACUACUAGGAAAAAUGUGGCUUAUAUUUUAACUUUGUUAUAUUCUGGAGAAAGCAGCAUUAGAAGUGAGCGGCCCAGUCUAAUCACAUGAGUCAUCAAAUGUGGAGAACUUCUUCCCCAGUCAGUGAGAGAGAGACAGCAGCAGAAAAAAUUUGAAGUGUGAAAAGGCCUCAAUUAGCUGUUCAAAGGAGUCUAAGAGCCAAAAAAAUGCAGGCACCUCUUGAAGCCAGGAAGACCAAGGAAAUAGAUUCUCUUCUACUGCCCCCAAAAGAAAGAUGAUCUUGCUGUGAGCUGGGUGUAGUGGUUCAUGCCUGUAAUCCCAGCACUUUGGGAGGACGAGGUGGGAGGAUCACUUGAGGUCAGGAGUUCAAGACUAGCCUGGCCAACAUGGUGAAACCUCAUCUCUACAAAAAAUUAGGCAGGACUGGGUGCAGUGGCUCACGCCUGUAAUCCCCGCACUUUGGGAGGUCGAGGUGGAUGGAUCAUGAGGUCAAGAGAUCAAGAACAUCCUGACCAACAUAGCAAAACCUCGUCUCUACUAAAAAUACAAAAAUUAACCAGGUGUGGUGGUGUGCUCCUGUAAUCCCAGCUACUUGGGAGGCUGAGGCAGGAGAAUCGCUUGAACCCAGGAGGCACAGGUUGCUGUGAGUCAAAAUCGCACCACUGCACUCUAGCCUGGCAACAGAGGGAGACUCCAUCUCAAAAAAAAAUAUAUAUAUAUAUAUAUAUAGCCAGGUGUGGUGGUACACAUCUGUAAUCCCAGUUACUUGAGUGGCUGAAGCAUGAGAAUAGCUUGAAACUGAGAGUUGGAGGCUGCUGUGAGCCGAGAUUGUGCCAUGGCACUCCAGCCUGAGCAACAGACUGUCUCAAAAAAUAAAAUAAAAUAAAAAAUAAAAGCUGAAAACACAUUUCCAUUUUGUGGUGUCAUUUCCUAUAUGGAAUCCCAACCUAAAAUUGAUCUCCCAUCCUGCUGUGCCAUAACACUUGUGUGUAACCCCAUUAAAUGUCCCCUUGGCAUCAGUAGCUCAUGGUCAUUGCUGUUUAUCUAGCUCAUACCCAUUCCGUAUGCUCUACAUAAACAUGAGCAAAGCGAGGACAAAAUUUGGAAUAUACUGUCAAAUAGCACAAGAACAUUGGAGGUGCUGCCUGUGGUAUACACACACAUGAGUACAAUACAUACACAUGAGUGCAAAUAAAAUCGAGGUAUCAGAAUCCUCAAUUUUAUUUGUACUCAUAUGUGUGUAUUAAGCUCUAUAUAAUUGUAUCAACUGUUUAAUAAAUAUCCACUACUUCUGUUUUUAAUGAGAAUUUAUCACAUUGGUAGCAUCUGAAUUUUGGUUGGAAUUAAAUUUCAACAUGAAUUUUGGAAGGGACAAAACAUUCUACCAUAACUAACCUAGGGUUUCCAAUUCCAGGGUCCAGAAGAGCGCUUCACCUGUGAGGGUCUUGUGUGAUGGUUUGAGGUUAGCACAGCUUCUAGGUAAACUUUUCAGAGAAUUCCACUGGCCUACGUUCAUAGGACACCAAUAAUAGGCAUCAGGAGCAUCCUCUUUUUUCACUCUUCUCCUUUACCUUUCCUGUCCAUUGUGCUUAUAAGUCCUCUCUUCAAAGACCGCUCCAUUAAAUGCAAAUAUGGCAAAUAAUUCCUAAGCUGCCUUAAAAGGUUUUUUCUUCUUUACCUUGAGAAAUAAUGAGUUUACUCUGGAUCCCAGGGCCUGAAUGUGCAGAUGUGAUGUCAUGUCCUUAUUUCCUUUCAACAGACAUUAACAAUUUCUUAAUGUUUCACUUUUAUUUAGUCACUGCUCUUUCUUCCCAAUUUAAGUGUUAUAAGCUGGUUUUCAUCUACUUGUUCAUCAUGUUCCUUGUUUUCUAGUUUUUCAAAUGCCAGAAUCUUAUAGUACCAUAAUUGUAUGGAAAAAAAUGCAUAGAAUAGGCUGAACUACCUGAAGACAUUUUGAAAUCAAUAUUUGAAAAUUCAUACAUUUAGGAUUUUUCCUGUAAAUGUCAUGAAAUAAUGGCAAUUUUUUAGGUCACAAAUCUUGAUCCUUUUUAGUUGACUGUAAAAUUCCAG